AUGGAGGGGAAGCCGCUGCAUCUCCUCCUCCCCCACCCCCACCCUCGCCCCCCAUUCCCAGGCCACCUCCCCAACCACGGCCUCCCGGAGCCCCGCCUCCGCCUCUCCCUCCACCACCGCAACCCGAAGGCGAGGCAGCUCGCCUUCUCCCCCCGGCCGCCCAACAGCCAACCGGCCACGCCCGGCCGGGGAGGCUGGGAGUGGGCGCGGGGCGCCUCCGCGGCGGCGGCGCUGGCGCUCCACCUGGCCGUCUGCUCCCUCCUCAUCCUCUUCCCCGCCCCGGCGGCACGCGCGUGCGCCCAGCCGCCCCCUCCCCCCGCUGCCGUGGAGGCCAAGGAGCAGGAGGAGGGCGACGAGGAGUGGGAGGCCGCGCUGCAGCAGUGGAAGUCCAAGACCUACGCGCUCUCCGUGCCCCUGCGCGUCGUCGCGCUCCGCGGCUCCUUCCCUCCCGCGUGGAUCAAGGAUUUCAUUGAAGCACAGGGGAAGAGGCUCAAAUUCAGCCCUGAGUUCCGCCCUAGUAUCGACGCGCUCUUCUCUGAGUUGUCAAAAUGUGUGGACAAAGGUCAGGUUCAGCCCAAAUCUGCGAUGGCAGCUGAUGUCGUUUCUAUUGGGGACUCUUGGCUCGGCUACGCCAUCCGUAAGGGACUGGUAGAACCUAUCAACAAUGCUGAAGAACAGGAUUGGUAUCGGAGCCUAAGUGACAGAUGGAAGGUUCAUUUGUGCAGGAACCAGAAUGGAGAGGCAGAUUCUAAUGGCUCGGUAUGGGGUGUUCCAUACAGAUGGGGCACAGUGGUCAUUGCAUACAAGAAAAGCAAGUUUAAGCAGCAUAACCUGAAGCCAAUACAGGAUUGGGAGGAUUUGUGGAGGCCUGAACUUGCUGGGAAGAUUUCAAUGAUUGAUUCUCCCAGAGAAGUAAUUGGUGCAGUCCUUAAGCAGUUGGGAUCAUCAUAUAACACGAUUGACAUGGAAACAGAAGUCAAUGGUGGUAGAGAAGCAGUCCUAAGCAGCUUUACACAGCUACAAAAACAGGUCCAGCUAUUUGACAGCAUGAACUAUCUGAAAUCAUUUGGAGUUGGGGAUGUUUGGGUCACAGUGGGUUGGAGCAGCGAUGUCAUCCCUGCUGCAAAGCGAAUGUCCAAUGUCGCUGUUGUUGUUCCCAAGUCAGGCAGUAGCCUCUGGGCUGAUUUAUGGGCCGUACCUUGUGCGACAAGGUUUCAGACUGAUCGAAUCGGGGGCAGAACUAGAGGCCCAUCUCCACUCAUCCACCAGUGGUUCGACUUCUGUCUGCAGAGUGCCAGAAGCUUGCCCUUUCGCCAGGAAAUUAUCCCAGGAGCAUCGCCGCUGUUCCUUGAGAACCCAGCUCCAGAGGUUCUGCAAGAUCGAAACAAGAAGAAGCCAAAGCUGGAGAGUAACCUUCUCAGGGGAGUGCCUCCCCCUGAAAUCCUGGAAAAAUGUGAGUUCUUAGAACCUCUAUCGGACAAAGCGGUGGGUGACUACCAGUGGUUGAUGUCGAGAGUGCACAGACCACGCGGCGGUCUGCUUGGCACCAUGCUGCAAAAGAUAUCAACCAUGCUAGACUUAAAAUCGAGAUUUUAG
rnacentral:rRNA from 1 species